rnacentral:lncRNA from 1 species
UGCUGAAGUUGCUUAUCAGUUUCAGGAGUUUUUGGGCUGAGGCAAUGGGAUCUUCUAGGUAUACUAUCAUGUCGUCUGCAAAUAGAGACAAUUUGGCUUCCACCUUUACUAUUUGAAUACCCUUUAUUUCUUUUUCUUGCCUGAUUGCUCUUGCUAGAACUUCCAGUACUAUAUUGAAUAGGAGUGGUGAGAGAGGGCAUCCUUGUCUAGUGCCAGAUUUCAAAGGGAAUGCUUCCAGUUUUUGCCCAUUCAGUAUGAUAUUGGCUGUUGGUUUGUCAUAAAUAGCUUUUAUUACUUUGAGAUACGUUCCAUUGAUACCGAGUUUAUUGAGGGUUUUUAGCAUAAAGGGCUGUUGAAUUUUGUCAAAUGCCUUCUCUGCGUCAAUUGAGAUAAUCAUGUGGUUUUUGUUUUUGGUUCUGUUUAUGUGGUGAAUUACGUUGAUAGACUUGCGUGUGUUGAACCAGCCUUGCAUCCCCGGGAUGAAUCCUACUUGAUCAUGAUGAAUAAGUUUUUUGAUUUGCUGUUGCAAUCGGCUUGCCAAUAUUUUAUUGAAGAUUUUUGUGUCUAUGUUCAUCAUGAUAUUGGCCUGAAGUUUUCUUUUCUCAUUGGGUCUCUGCCGGGUUUUGGUAUCAGGAUGAUAUUGGCCUGAAGUUUUCUUUUCUCGUUGGGUCUCUGCCGGGUUUUGGUAUCAGGAUGAUGUUGGUCUCAUAAAAUGAUUUGGGAAGGAUUCCCUCUUUUUGGAUUGUUUGAAAUAGUUUUAGAAGGAAUGGUACCAGCUCCUCCUUGUGUGUCUGGUAGAAUUCGGCUGUGAACCCAUCUGGACCUGGGCUUUUUUUGUGAGGUAGGCUCUUAAUUGCUGCCUCAACUUCAGACCUUGUUAUUGGUCUAUUCAUAGUUUCAGCUUCCUCCUGGUUUAGGCUUGGGAGGACACAGGAGUCCAGGAAUUUAUCCAUUUCUUCCAGGUUUACUAGUUUAUGUGCAUAGAGUUGUUUGUAAUAUUCUCUGAUGAUGGUUUGAAUUUCUGUGGAAUCUGUGGUGAUUUCCCCUUUAUCAUUUUUUAUUGCAUCUAUUUGGUUGUUCUCUCUUUUAUUUUUAAUCAAUCUGGCUAGUGGUCUGUCUAUUUUGUUGAUCUUUUCAAAAAACCAGCUCUUGGAUUUAUUGAUUUUUUGAAGGGUUUUUCGUGUCUCAAUCUCCUUCAGCUCAGCUCUGAUCUUAGUAAUUUCUUGUCUUCUGCUGGGUUUUGAGUUUUUUUGAUCUUGCUCCUCUAGCUCUUUCAAUUUUGACGAUAGGGUGUCAAUUUUG